rnacentral:rRNA from 1 species
UACGUAGGUGGCAAGCGUUGUCCGGAUUUACUGGGCGUAAAGAGCGCGCAGGCGGUUGUGCAAGUCGCGUGUGAAAGCCCCCGGCUCAACUGGGGAGGGUCACGCGAUACUGUUCGACUUGAAGGCAGGAGAGGGAAGUGGAAUUCCCGGUGUAGUGGUGAAAUGCGCAGAUAUCAGGAGGAACACCGAUUGCGAAGGCAGCUCGCUGGGACGUUACUGACGCUGAGACGCGAAAGCGUGGGGAGCAAACAGG